UCGAAGAGCAGGACCACCUUGUAUCAUCCCAUGGGAAAUGGUAGGACAGAAAGGUUAAAUCAGACCUUGUUGAAUAUGCUUCGGACGCUAGAGGAAGAGAAGCAAAGUCGCUGGCCAGAGUAUCUCUCAGAACUUUUGUUGGCUUACAAUAACACAGUGCAUAGUGUGACAGGUUAUGCCCCUGCAUACCUCAUGUUUGGUAGGCAUUGUCGUCUUCCAGUUGAUGUUGCUCUUGAUGUAGCCCCAUUACAGGUUGCAGUCACCAGGGAGGAAUGGGUGAGAAGACAUCAUGGUAGGUUGUCAUACGCAUUCCAGGUGGCAAGGAAGAAUGCAGAUUUGGCCGCAGGUCAGUACAAACGCAGGUAUGAUCAGAGAGCUGGGGCAGGUCCAUUGCUACCUGGAGAAAGGGUGUGGGUGCGAGAUAGAGGGCGACAAGGGAAAGGUAAAUUGAGAGGUUGGUGGGACACUACAGUGUAUCUGGUGUUGGAGCAGGUGGGAGAAACUGGAGUAGUGUACAAGGUGAAGCCUGAAAAGGGUGGGAAAGAAAGGGUUUUACACCGGAAUGCUCUUAAACCCUGUCUCUUGGUCCUCCAAGAGGCACCCGCAAUUUCAUGUGCCAAUAGUGAACCUACAACCUCUAAUGAGGGAUAUUUGGUGACUUUCCAGCCUGUUGAGAGGGUUGAUGAGGGUAAAGUAGGUCUUAGGUGUUCAGUCAGAGCAAAUUUGGGAGUACCUCCAACUCGGUUUAGAGAGUGAUGGGUAGAAUGAUGAUGGGAUUGCCAGGGACUGGCUAUAUUAUAGAAUAUAUGUAGGUGUCAGGCAGGUGAAUUUUGUGUUUCUUUUGUUUGCUGGAAUUAUAAAUAAUGCAGAUUAUUUUCUUUUUGUGUGUAAUAAGGUUAUUUAAGUGUGUGGGUUUGUAGUGUUUUUAUUUUGAAAUUUCACUUGUGUGUUUAAUGUCAGACUUCCCUACUCGUAAGAUGACUGGCUUUCCUUUAUAAUAAGGUUUGGACGGAGCUUCAGAAUUGGCGUGAGAGCGGGUUAGAGCCACGAGGAACUGGCGUGUGUGCGAGAAGGAGGAGUCGAGAUGUACCGGUCGAUGAGCGUGGAGGAGCUGAGGCUGCUGUCGUGAUACAUUCCACCCAGGCUUUGGGAUACUCACACUGGGGGCUGGUGGUUACCACUCCCGGGCAGAGUUUGGCGUCCUACCGUGAAGCACGUAGAGGAAGAUCUGCGAGCAAGAGAGAGAGAUUGAGCUGCGUUGUGUUGUCGGGGCCUGCUUCUUGGGAACACAGACCAAGCCGUGUUGUUGCUGAGAGAAGUCUGCCUCACGGUUUUCCCUCCUUUUCCCUUCUAUUGGAUGGUUUUAAGAUUAGUUGUUAUUGGCCUUGUUUGAACUUUGAUGGUCAAUAAAGCUUUUUUAAAAUUUU